ensembl:lncRNA
UUCAUGUAUAAAAAGUUUAAUAUUCCAUAAAAUACAUUUAAUAUUUAAGUAUCUACACAAAAAUAGGUUUCAAAUAAGGUACAAGAACAUUCAUAGAACAUUAAACACCUCAUAAAGCAGACAGAACAGAUCCAACAACAGAUCUGAGGUCGUUGUAAUGCGAGAUACGGUUUAAUACGACUUUAAAUAAAAUCCAUAAGGAUAAAAUGAAAAAAGAAAUCCUUUGAUGUAAUUGGCCUAGCACGAGGCAGAAUUUCUAAUACCGUGAGGCACCGACUGUAUACUACUGUGAUAUAUAAUGCGAUUCUUAGUGAGCAUAUGUAACAGUGUUAGGGAAAUAGCUACUUAGGGUGCUGGACAAUCUUUUGUAUGAGGAAAUCAGGGUGUCCUCCUAUAAAAUAUUUGGUUUAUGCAACCAGGCCACUUAAAAAGGCUUCCUUGCAAUUUACUAACUACAUAUAACUGCAGUGCAAAGAUGCUGCUUCUUCAAGGACAUGACUCUCUAUGCAAGCAUACCUUUGAAUCAGUCAGCAUUCUGAUGUUGCCUAGAGACAGUGACUUAUUGGGCUUUUUUCUUCUCAAAGAAAAAUGGGCUGAUGUCAUAAAAAAAAUAUUCUCAUUUUAAGAGCACACAGCAAUACUGCUAAUUUUCAUUAUCUGUUUGGAAUUAUUCAAAGCUGAAUAAAAAUGGCAAACUGAGGCAGAACCAGGCAAAUUAUAGACAACAAGAAACAAGAAUCUCAGUACCAAAAUGCCAAAUUACAACCAGUCCUGAUUGUCAAGCCAGUAUACAAUUAUGCAGUACAUAAUACAGUACACAUUUGAUGGUGUAAUAAUAAUUCAGUCAUUGGUAAUAAUGUGGAGGUUAUGGCCAUAUAUAAAAAAAGAGCAUGUGAAAGCAUACAGUAGUUUAGAAUAAAACUGAUUGUCUUUAAAAUGCCCAUUUACAACAUAAAAAUCAUUGUAUCCAUUGUGCAUUUGGGAUAGAAACACUUUUCCAAAGCGCUUACUUUUAUGUUGUGGUCCUGCUACUGUUUACCAUCAUGCAUCCACCCACUUCCCACACAGAUCCUCACCUGACACCUCUAAUACAAACAAAGCCUGUCUGACUGCUCAUCAGUCACAUUAACAAACUACCCAGACAUGUAGUGUACACACAGGAGGAGACUGACUAGAAAAACUCAACUCUGUGAUACGUACAUGGCUUUAAAUCUAGAUACCAGUUCAGCUCAGGUUAGCAGUUUUGGUUGUGUCUCAUAGUCCUUAAGCAAACUGAGAUGAAAUUUAUACCAGCAUGACUGGACCCAUCAUUUUCCUAAACCAAAAAAAGUGAUCUCUGGAAACCUACGUUUCAUCAAUUUGGUAAAUCCAUAAACUCAAAUUCAGUGGCUGUUUAGAAUACAGACUCUGAAGUUGAGUUGCAAACUCUAUCAAAGCUCAAAAGUUCCACCAGUUGUAGGUGUGGUUGUCCUUUUGCUCACAUUCUAUGCUGGAAAAUCCCAAGCAUCACAAAAUGAAUGUGGUCAAGGUUCAGGGUGGGACGGGGCCCAUCAAUGCCAGUUGUCACUGGCAGAACCACUUCUGGAAAUGGCACGGAGAGGACUGCGGGACACCGACCCCCUCUUCUUCCAACGGACUGUAACACAAAAUCCAAAACAAAAGAGUUACAACUUUUAAACAGAAAAAUAGAACACUGAG